rnacentral:sRNA from 1 species
UAUGUCAAUCAUCGUUGACACUUCGGUACU